UUCUGCGAAGGCGAAAUAAACACCUGCCGCGCUCUGCUCGUGAAUCUACACCUUUUUGUCCUUGAGUAUUCAUUACAGAUGAUCGCUUUUACUGAUACAAUGUAUAGCAGUUCUCUGUACAUUCUACUCUCUCCAAAUGUUAUUUUAAAUGAAUAGGAGUUUGUUUACGCAAUUAAUUUGUAAAUAGUUCGCAAUUAUUAGGCCUACAGUUGUUUGCCGCUUAUUAUACUCAAAAUGUCACUCAAAGACUAUGAAAGGCAUUUCGCCUCACUAAAUUCAUAUUCUGUCAGUGAAUCUUUCGCCAGUGGGCGAUCGACGUCAGUAUACAGCGGCAAGGAAGAAAAGUUACAUUUGGCGAAGCAGACAGAGGACAACUCUCUGGUGGUGUGGAAGGAGGCGGACUUGAACUGCCUCUCAGAUAAAGAGCAUAAAGAUGUCACAGAUGAGAUCAGCAUCCUCUCCAUCCUACAGCACAACAUCAACAGCCUACUUCAACCAUUUCAUGGACAAGGACACUCUGCUCAUUGAGCUUGAAUAUUGUAAUGGAGGAAAUCCUUUUGAUUAAAUCAACCAACAGAAGGGGAAACGCUUCACUGAGGUUGUCAUAUGGUACCUGCACCAAGUUACCUCUGCAGUGGCUCACAUUCAUAAGGCUGGUAUCCUGCACAGGCUGUCUCGUCAUUGUCGGUGAUCAGGCCUACCACUG